AGAGGUUGUUCACAAAUGAUUCAACUGUUACAGGGAGACAGUGAAGAGGAGUGAAAGGUGACACAACUUUUGAUUUUCUAAUUAAGAAAGUUUACUUAAUUAGAUCAGUGUACACGUUAGAUGUAAACGUUGUUUAUAUCUAAUGUGUUAACUGAAUCAGCAGCGUGUGAAAAUCCUUCCCGUGUUGUUAUUUUUGGAUUUUUGUUCCAAAGUUCACUUAAAAUAGACUUAAUGGGUUUCUUUCCAAAUGACGAUGUCAACUCAGAGGGGGUAAUGUAGUUGAUCAAGGGGCGAGGGAUUGUUGGUCACAAAUUUUAAAACAAUCCCAUAUGAUAUUUUAACAUAAGAACAAAGCAAACAAGGGCAUUUUAAAAUUUGACAAGCCUAAAUUCGGUAAGCUCACAAACUUCGUGUGUGAUAAGAUGGCAUAUUAAGACCUUGUUUCUUAUAUUUUUGGUGUUCCCAAAACAGGUUUCUGUUUCUUAUUAAAAAAGCGUGUGUUUUGCGUGUUUCUGUUAAUUAGUUUUACAUGUUUCAGUUCAAACUGACGCAUUUGUCAAAGUUUGUUUAUAGUUUUGCGCCAGAUUUCUUUAUUGAAUUACAGGAUACAUGUCAAUUUCUUUUACAUAUGAUUUCCGCGGGUUUUCUUUGCUUUUUGUUUAGGUCAGAAUAACAUCAUUCUCUCUAUUUCACCAUCUUGUUUCACGAGCUCAAAAAUUUUCUCCAGCCUUUACCAUAGAGUCAAACUUGGCUCGGAAAAGACACUCGCUUGUCUGUCAGUUUACAAAAGGAAUUUAGAAUCCAAAAGCUGGUUGAGGUGCGACGCAAUUUUAAUCUCAAAGAAAACCGGAAUAAAAAAAGUAUUUUUGGACAUGCAAUGUACACUUUCAAUGUGUGAAGACAUUCCAGUGAACUGCGAAUAUUUAUAAAAUGGUAGCAAAAACGAAACAAAACUUUACAUCAGCUCUUACGUAAGACACUCGCCAUUACUUGGUGGUAGAACUGUAGUUGCUAAGACACUGUUAAGACUAAGUUUUAAAUAUUUGCACAUACUAAACAGUGAACAAAUAAAAAUUAAAUUAAAUGAAUGUACAAUUAAAUUAUAAAUAGUUUUAUUUGGUAACCUUGAUGUAAGCAAACGAGUUCAUUUCCAGGAUGUUUUGUGAAAAGCAAUUUUUCACUUUUUCAUUAAACGCUGCCAGAUCGUACUAAGAUCGCAAGAUAUGUUAGAUAUACAUGAUUUAAACUACGUAUACUGAUAGAUUUUUAUAACAAACAAUCAACCUUAGAGGAUAGAGAAAUAGAGUUUGGUUGGUUCUUUCUAGUAGAACCAACUGGGAUGGUAAAUUAUUAGCUAAUCUAUUUUUAGUGAUUUGUAUAUAAAGAAAUUAAAAAGGAGCUUUUUGUUAAAGAAAAGUAAAAUUUCAUCAAACUAAAGUGAUGACAUCUGGUCGUUUAAGAAAAAUUUUUUAAAAAACUAUUCACUUGACGAUUAAAAUCUGUCACAUAUUCCCCAUUGCGUUGAAAUAAUAAAAUUAUCUUCGGUUAAAUUUAUCUUUUUGUUUUUCCACAUAAUAGUCAAUAUUAUUCUGUUCUGUUUUAAAACGUUUUUUUAAUGCAUCGACUUUCCUAAAUGGGUCAGUCUUACUUAAUCAAUAUAUGAAACGCGGCGUUGAGAAUUUCAGUAUAUUAUUUUUGAAACUUUUUUUAAUGUUUUUUACAUUUGUUUUAGAUUUAGAGUUGAUAAUAUAUUGAGUUGGAAAGCAGAAGUGGUAAAGCUUGAAACUUGAAGUUUUAGAAGAACAAAAUGUUACUAUUACAGACAAUGGAUUUCGUAUACAAACAGAGCUUAUCUUUUUUGCGUGCUGUGGAUAUUAAAAUUUUUUAGGAGUUAUAGAGAAAAAUGAAGGAAAUGAAGAAAAAAGAAAAAAAAGAAAAAAGAAAAAAAAAGAAUCGCAGAAAAAAUUCUAUAUGUUAUUUUCUCUAUUAAACAUUAGAAGAUUAAGAUGUGGGGCUCGUAAAUUCUAUUAACGUCUGCAACACUUGGAGUUACGAUGUUGCGAUACACAAAUAAUUUAUUUGCGCAGUUAUUUUGCGACGUUAUUUAAAGCCUUCUACACUCAUGCACAUUGCGUUACCGUUUUUUCAGCAAUUACCAAUGCAUGCCGUCCAAUUAUACAUAAUUUGAUUAAAAUUUCGUUUCGUUUCGUUUUCGUACAAAGACGCUAAAAUUAAAGAUUAAAGAUUAUUGACUCAAAGAUUUGCGUUGCCGUAUUUUCAUGCGUUUACAUUAAUCAUAGAAAACCAUUAAAAUUUUUCGCUUACUGUUCAUGCGUAAUAUGAUUUUCUAAAAAUACCGUUGUGUUUACACGAAGUAAAACCUUCUCCAGGUUAGAUUUCCUUUUCGAAUUUACCCUUUCCAUCAGAAUUUCACCCAAAAAACGAAUAAUUUUUUAAAAAAUGGGUGUAAACACUAUUCGGAAAAUUUUCUAUUUUUAGUAACAUGACUAAUGAAAAUAGAAGAAUUUGCUCCAGUAUAAACGCAGUAUAGGUGAAGACAAUUGGCUUAAAAUUACGGAAGAAUGAUAAAUUCGUAGUACUUUUUUUGCGCGAAAAAAAUAAAUAAAAAAAUUACAAAACCUUUUUCUUUAAUGAGAUAAGAAAAUGAAGUAUAAAAAGGAUAUAAAGAGAAUUUUUUUAAUCAUAUGCGCCAUUUUUUUUACUUUGCUUGGCAUGUGCAAGUGCGGCGACAUGCUGUAGUUGAAAAUACUCAUAGAGGAUCAGCUGGUUUUAUUUUAUAUUUCCUAAUCUAAAACUCUUAAAACAGCUAUAUAUACCGUUAGAGCAAUUCCUUUUAAAACUUAUUAAAUCGGAUUGCUAAAAAAAAGGCUUAUUAUAUGAAACAUGUGAAAAUUUUUGUCACGCAUUUUUUCUUUUGGUCUUCUAGCUGUUCGCGGUAAGUUAUUUUUAUAUCUCGUCUCCUUUAUUAUUAUUUCAUCUUCUGAUUUUUCUGAUUUUUUUCUGAUCUUUUCUUAAUUCUGACAUUUUUUUCGUUAUUAACAAGUAAUUUCCUCACUUCAGAGCGAAAGAAUAAAAUUUUUCAAUACAGAAUAGCCACUACUCCUGAAGACUUUUGGAAACCUCCGGAAACUUCUAGGUAAUGUAAUAUGGAAAAACUUGGCCCAUAAAAAGUGAUAAGUUAAAAAGGUUGAAUUUCUUAUAUUUGCAUUUUUUACGUCAGAAAUAGCAGCUGCAUGUGCAAUAUUUUAUGUUAUUUAUUUAUCGAUAUUUCAGAAAGGUACAUUUGAGUUGAUAUGAUAGUUUUUUUAAGAAUUUUUUAUAACUCUUGGAAUACUGUAUUAAAACACUGGAAUUUAAAAAGCAAGUGUAUGCAUGUAUGCAUGUACCAACCUCGUUUCAAGUCCAUUUUGCCUUGUUGUUAGAGUCCAAUCCGUAGUAACGGCUCAGGGGCCACAAGACCCUGGGAACAAGGUUGUGAAGGUUGGACCUAAUUGUCUACACUUUAUAUAAAGAAAUUAUUUUUCGGCAAUUUAAAAUCUUGAGAAUGGUUGGGUUUUUUAAAGAGCGGUAAGCUACUUGAAAAUUUGGAGUUUCGUAUGAGUUUUAGAAUUAUAAGGAACUUUUUAGUAGCUGCAGAAAUCUUCUUGACUAACUAAAGAAAAUUAUUUGGAACCGUAUACGAACAAUCAAUGCUCGUGUACCUUGCAAUUUCGCGAAUUUAAAUUCUAGAUUUCUUGAAAACGAUUUUUCUGCUUUUUUUUAAAAAACCAAAACUGCCAUCUGCAAGGAGAUGACCUAGUUUUUUAUUUUUAG